CCUACGGGAGGCAGCAGUGAGGAAUAUUGGUCAAUGGCCGUAAGGCUGAACCAGCCAAGUCGCGUGAAGGAAGAAGGAUCUAUGGUUUGUAAACUUCUUUUAUAGGGGAAUAAAGGUAUCCACGUGUGGAUAUUUGCAUGUACCCUAUGAAUAAGCAUCGGCUAACUCCGUGCCAGCAGCCGCGGUAAUACGGAGGAUGCGAGCGUUAUCCGGAUUUAUUGGGUUUAAAGGGUGCGUAGGUUGUUUUUUAAGUCAGCGGUGAAAGUUUGUGGCUCAACCAUAAAAUUGCCGUUGAAACUGGAAGACGUGAGUGUGUGUGAGGUAGGCGGAAUGCGUGGUGUAGCGGUGAAAUGCAUAGAUAUCACGCAGAACUCCGAUUGCGAAGGCAGCUUACUAAGCCAUAACUGACACUGAAGCACGAAAGCGUGGGGAUCAAACAGGAUUAGAUACCCCUGUAGUC
rnacentral:rRNA from 1 species